UACGGAGGUGGAUACGGAGGUGGAUUCUUUGGUGGACUGAAAGGAUUUGGAGGUUACGGUCUGGGAGGUUACGGAGGUGUCGGAGUCGGAGGUCUUUAUGGAGGAUUUGGCCGCGGCUACGGGGGAUACCUCUCCUACUAGACUCGCCAUUACCUCAGGAGGAAGACAAUCCAGAACUCUCGGUUUGACAGCCCGUACUUCUUGAAUAAAAGCUGACACAAUCGUUACCAA
rnacentral:sRNA from 1 species